rnacentral:rRNA from 1 species
CAGUCGCCGCGGGAAUACGAGGGGGGCAAGCGUUGUUCGGAAUUAUUGGGCGUAAGGGGUGCGUAGGCGGUUCAGCAAGUCUCGUGUGAAAUCUUCGGGCUCAACCCGAAGUCUGCACGGGAAACUACUGGGCUUGAGUAAUGGAGAGGUGAGUGGAAUUUCCGGUGUAGCGGUGAAAUGCGUAGAUAUCGGAAGGAACACCUGUGGCGAAAGCGGCUCACUGGACAUUUACUGACGCUGAUGCACGAAGGCUAGGGGAGCAAACAGGAUUAGAUACCCGUGUAGUCCCUGUCUCUUAUAC